UACGUAGGGAGCAAGCGUUGUCCGGAAUCAUUGGGCGUAAAGCGCGCGUAGGUGGCUUCGUAAGUCCGUUGUGAAAGUCAAAGGCUCAACCUUUGAAAGCCGAUGGAUACUGUGAAGCUAGAGUACGGAAGAGGCGAGUGGAAUUCCUGGUGUAGCGGUGGAAUGCGCAGAUAUCAGGAGGAACACCAAUAGCGAAGGCAGCUCGCUGGGACGUUACUGACACUGAGGCGCGAAAGCGGGGGGAGCAAACAGG
rnacentral:rRNA from 1 species